rnacentral:lncRNA from 1 species
CAGAGGCAAAAAACUGAAAUACAUUCAAAAGAACAAGGCAAAGAGAAUGUUGUAGACAGAAAUAUGUAGAUAGCUGUGUCUGUUUUCAUAACCUAAUCGCUUAGUUUUGUUGUUAAUAUCACUACUUUGCCCACAAAAACUGUUGUAAUUAACAAAUAUAAAUCUGGAAUUUGAAAAAUGGUAGAAGUAACAUAAUCACACAAAGGCACUUUAGAUGUGCUUCCUGACUAUUUCCCAAAGGCAGGGAGAAAUAAUACCUUCCUUCCCUGUCAAGUGCAUUCUACAGCAGUGGUUCCCAAAGGUUAUACUGCUACCAUCAGAACAGAAGCAUCUAUGAGCUUGUUAGGACUCUCUGAGCCCCAUCUGACCUACUGAAUCAGAACCUCUUGGGGUGGUCUCAAUUUAAGUGUUUUAGCAAGCUCUCCAGGAAAUCCUUCUAUGCAUUAAUGCUUGAGAAUCACUGCUCAACACACACAGCUAGCAUCAAAACAGGCAUGCUUCUUAUGCAGUAGAAUGAGUAUGUUGCUAAUGCUUAUGUACCUGUGCAGCUAGAAAUGUGUGUGAAGAUUAGAGGUGGGGAAGAUCAGAGAUGGCAACAUCUAUUCAACAAAUAUUUAAAUGCCUGAUGUAGUCUUGGACCUAGGCUAAGUGCUGAGAUCACAAAAGUGAAUAAAGCAUAAUCCCUACCUUUGCAUACCUCAAAGAAUGAACUAUAGAAAUACAGGUUCCCAAAUUAAAAUACUUCAAACCUACAGAGACUAAAGUAAUUUCCAGGAUAAUAAUAUUUGAGCCACAUCCUGACAAGCAUUCUGGUUGUACGAUAUGAUCCAGUGAAAAAUGCUUGAUUCGGAAGACAGUCCAAGCAAAGGUGAUAUGUUCAAAGCCAUGACAGCAUGAGGAAGCAUGGCUCAUUUGGAAAACAGAAUAGUAGCUCAGGAUGGCUAAAAACGAAAUAGCAAAUGGAAGAAGGAGGCAGAAGGUGGAAGUGUGGACUAGGUCCAGAACAUUGUGGCAUGGUAUGUCAUUCUAUGAAGCCUGGUUCUAUGUUGCUAUGGGAGUCAUUGAGAACUUAGAAAUAGGGUGGUGAUGUGUUAAGAUUCCAGUGCUGGAGCAGAAUUUAGGCUGAUUUAAAGGGGCAAAACUGGAUGCAAAGGUUCUAAUGUAAAAAAUAUUGAAAUGGACAAGGGAAAAAUGUACCCAUGGUCUUAAAUAUGAGAGUGAUUAUAAGAAUGAAGCAGAAAAUAUGGCUUCCAGAGAUAUUUAUUCAUGUCAUGAAUAAAAUAUGUAAUAUAGAAUAAGCCUCUCCUCUGUCAUGUCAUCAUGUCCAAUUUUGUGAGCUCUUUGACUCAGAAACUCUCUGAAGCUUUAAGUGGCCUCCUCGGCUGAGCACACCUGGGUCAGUAAUGAACCAUUUGCAAAGGGCUCUGUGUGUUGUGGUUGGAGAUGCUGAGGAGGAGGCCAAUGCAGUUAUAUUAGCUGCCAUAAAACAAGGAACCACAAACUGGAUUGCUUGAAGACAGACAUGUAUUCUCCACAGUUCUGGAGGCCAGAGUCUGAUUUCAAAUUGCCAGCAGUGCCAUGUCUUUGUGAAGGACAUGGGAGGAGAACGUGUUCCAUGCUUUUUUUUUCUAGCUCCUGGUUUUGCUAUCAAUUCUUGAGAUUACUUGUCUUAUAGAAGCGUCACUCUGUUCUCUGCCUCAAUCAUCACAUGGCAUUCUUCUUCCUAUAUGUCUUCAUAUCAUCUUCCCUGUGUGUGUGUUACUUUCUGUUUCUCUACUCUUCUUACAAGGACACCAGUCAUGUAGGACUAAGGACUACCUGCUGACUUCAUCAUAACUUGAUAUAACUGCAGAUACCUUAUUUCCAAAUAAGGUUUCAUUCACAGGUACUAGGGGUUAGGGUUUCAACAUAUCUUUUAGGGGACACAACUCAACCUAUAACAGCUGUUAACUCUUGUGUUAAAACUGUUCAGAGUGAGGCCAGGUGCGGUGGCUCACGCCUGUAAUCCCAGCACUUUGGG